rnacentral:rRNA from 1 species
UGGACGAAAGUCUGACGGAGCAACGCCGCGUGAGUGAUGAAGGUUUUCGGAUCGUAAAGCUCUGUUGUUAGGGAAGAACAAGUGCAAGAGUAACUGCUUGCACCUUGACGGUACCUAACCAGAAAGCCACGGCUAACUACGUGCCAGCAGCCGCGGUAAUACGUAGGUGGCAAGCGUUGUCCGGAAUUAUUGGGCGUAAAGGGCUCGCAGGCGGUUUCUUAAGUCUGAUGUGAAAGCCCCCGGCUCAACCGGGGAGGGUCAUUGGAAACUGGGAAACUUGAGUGCAGAAGAGGAGAGUGGAAUUCCACGUGUAGCGGUGAAAUGCGUAGAGAUGUGGAGGAACACCAGUGGCGAAGGCGACUCUCUGGUCUGUAACUGACGCUGAGGAGCGAAAGCGUGGGGAGCGAACAGGAUUAGAUACCCUGGUAGUCCACGCCGUAAACGAUGAGUGCUAAGUGUUAGGGGGUUUCCGCCCCUUAGUGCUGCAGCUAACGCAUUAAGCACUCCGCCUGGGGAGUACGGUCGCAAGACUGAAACUCAAAGGAAUUGACGGGGGCCCGCACAAGCGGUGGAGCAUGUGGUUUAAUUCGAAGCAACGCGAAGAACCUUACCAGGUCUUGACAUCCUCUGACAACCCUAGAGAUAGGGCUUUCCCUUCGGGGACAGAGUGACAGGUGGUGCAUGGUUGUCGUCAGCUCGUGUCGUGAGAUGUUGGGUUAAGUCCCGCAACGAGCGCAACCCUUGAUCUUAGUUGCCAGCAUUUAGUUGGGCACUCUAACUGACUGCCGGUGACAAACCGG